AAAUUUCAAGAUCAUACUUCACAGGAUCAUUUCUGUAGUAUGCAUCGUCCCCUCCAGGUGCAAAUCUGGAGUCGUCAUCAGCCACGAUGAUGAAAUUUGUCCAUUUACCAGAGCGUGAGACAGCUGGUAGUUUCCAUUUUUAUGGAAAGGCUAUUUCAGCGACGAUGAUCGCAACCGAUUUUCAUAUCGGGGGUAAAUGGACAGUCUGAGUGGUUCACUUUUCCCAAAUUUGAAAUUACAAUUGCAGUAUAUUUCACACGUUAAACCGUUGAAACCACGGCAAUUUAAUUAACUAUUUAAUCGCAAUCAAUUUACAUUCAAC